rnacentral:rRNA from 1 species
UACGAAGGGGGCUAGCGUUGUUCGGAAUUACUGGGCGUAAAGCGCGCGCAGGCGGUUCUUUAAGUCAGGGGUGAAAGCCCAGAGCUCAACUCUGGAAUUGCCUUUGAAACUAGAGAACUUGGGUACGGGAGAGGUGAGUGGAAUUCCGAGUGUAGAGGUGAAAUUCGUAGAUAUUGGGAGGAACACCAGUGGCGAAGGCGGCUCACUGGACCGGUACUGACGCUGAGGCGCGAAAGCGUGGGGAGCAAACAGG